GGGUUUGAUCCUGGCUCAGGAUGAACGCUAGCGGCAGGCCUAACACAUGCAAGUCGAGGGGUAAUCCCGCUUUCGGGCGGGAACGACCGGCGCACGGGUGAGUAACGCGUAUGCAACCUACCUUUAACUGGGGGAUAGCCCGAAGAAAUUCGGAUUAAUACCCCAUAUAACUAUAGAUAAGCAUUUAUUUAUAUUAAAAACUCCGGUGGUUAAAGAUGGGCAUGCGUAACAUUAGUUAGUUGGUGAGGUAACGGCUCACCAAGACUACGAUGUUUAGGGGGCCUGAGAGGGUGGUCCCCCACACUGGUACUGAGACACGGACCAGACUCCUACGGGAGGCAGCAGUGAGGAAUAUUGCGCAAUGGAGGCAACUCUGACGCAGCCAUGCCGCGUGCAGGAUGACGGCCCUACGGGUUGUAAACUGCUUUUAUACAGGAAGAACUUUCCGCACGUGUGCGGGAUUGACGGUACUGUACGAAUAAGCACCGGCUAACUCCGUGCCAGCAGCCGCGGUAAUACGGAGGGUGCAAGCGUUAUCCGGAUUUAUUGGGUUUAAAGGGUGCGUAGGCGGGAUAAUAAGUCAGUGGUGAAAUACUGCAGCUCAACUGUAGAACUGCCAUUGAUACUGUUAUUCUUGAGUUCGAUUGAGGUAGGCGGAAUGUGUAAUGUAGCGGUGAAAUGCUUAGAUAUUACACAGAACACCGAUUGCGUAGGCAGCUUACUAAGUCGACACUGACGCUGAGGCACGAAAGCGUGGGGAGCGAACAGGAUUAGAUACCCUGGUAGUCCACGCUGUAAACUAUGAUCACUAGCUGUUGGCGAUACAUCGAUCAGCGGCAAAGCGAAAGCAUUAAGUGAUCCACCUGGGGAGUACGGUCGCAAGAUUGAAACUCAAAGGAAUUGACGGGGGCCCGCACAAGCGGUGGAACAUGUGGUUUAAUUCGAUGGUACGCGAGGAACCUUACCUGGGCUUAAAUGCAGAUUGACGUUUCGGGAAACCGGAAUUCUCUUCGGAGCGAUUUGCAAGGUGCUGCAUGGUUGUCGUCAGCUCGUGCCGUGAGGUGUCGGGUUAAGUCCCAUAACGAGCGCAACCCCUAUCGUUAGUUGCCAGCGGAUAAUGCCGGGGACUCUAACGAAACUGCCGGUGUAAACCGAGAGGAAGGUGGGGAUGACGUCAAAUCAGCACGGCCCUUAUGUCCAGGGCUACACACGUGUUACAAUGGUCGGUACAGAGGGCAGCUACCUGGUGACAGGAUGCUAAUCUCGAAAGCCGGUCUUAGUUCGGAUCGAAGUCUGCAACUCGACUUCGUGAAGCUGGAAUCGCUAGUAAUCGCGUAUCAGCAACGACGCGGUGAAUACGUUCCCGGGCCUUGUACACACCGCCCGUCAAGCCAUGGAAGCUGGGGGUACCUGAAGUCUGUAACCGCAAGGAGCGGCCUAGGGUAAAACUAGUGACUGGGGCUAAGUCGUAACAAGGUA
rnacentral:rRNA from 1 species